UCGUGUCGUAAUACGGCUUGUGCGGUGGUACCAAUGAUUACGUGAUUAAUGUUAAAAAUGUUACGACACUGUGUUCACUCUAGUUUGUUUAGGUUAUCCCAAGGUAUUUUUAGAUGUUCUCUCUGGAAACCUGCUUGACAGUACAGUAGUUAAUUAGCAUGAGAAUGUACCUGCAUGUACCUGUAGCUUAUUAUGCAGAACGGUAAGAACCAGAAUGUUUGUAUGUUUGUUUCUUAUUUUUAAAUCUUUUUUUUUUUUUUUUUUUUUUAAUGCAUAGAAAUGGAGUAGCUGUGCACAUAAUGUUAUUUCUUUAGGUGGACAAAAAAGCAGCAGUGAAAAAAAAGUAACACCAAAUAAAUUAAGUAUAGUAAGAACAGAACCAAGCAAGCUCUUGUUAUCUUGAGAAUCAACAAAGGCAAAAUCUUUACAGCUUUGUAACAUAUUGAAUUGCCAUGGGGUGAAACAAAGUAUGAUUCUUUGUUUCACAAUAAGAAAACAGCGUAUAUAAUUCCUGGCAAGAACUGUUUAAGCUAUUAAGGACCAGUCUGCUGGAACACACUUGUCUUAUAGAGUUGUACUUCUGAAAUACACCAAGAGCAGUGUGCAGCUCGCCUGGGAAAAUUAUGAACGUGAUGGUCAUACUGAUUCGGCAAUGAAAAGGACUAAUUCAUAGCGAUGCAGUGUUGCGCACCCUUCCCUGCUCAAAUAGCCUUGGAUACGAAUCGUUAGCACAGAGAUCCUCCAUAUUUAACAACGUGAGGACGGGAGACGAAUAAGAGUAACUAAAAGUUGCAAGCAACUUUACGGCUUCCAAGGAGUGAAAUAUUACCAGCAUUUGCAGUUCUCCACAGCAGAGGGAACUCUUCAGAUUACCAGCGUUUGCAGUUCUCCACAGCAGAGGGAACCCUUCAGAUUACCAGCAUUUCCAGUGUACUCCAGCGGAGGGAGUUUAAACGUGAAAGAAAUAGUAUAGUGAGGGCUGAAGAAGUGAGAUAGCUAAUGGCCCGUACAGGGCAUAAAAGUAUUUACUGAAAAUAUAUGGGUGAUUAUUGUAA